rnacentral:rRNA from 1 species
CAAGUCGAACGAAGCGAUUUGACGGAAGUUUUCGGAUGGAAGCCAAAUUGACUGAGUGGCGGACGGGUGAGUAACGCGUGGGUAACCUGCCUCAUACAGGGGGAUAACAGUUAGAAAUGACUGCUAAUACCGCAUAAGCGCAUGGAGACGCAUGUUUCUGUGUGAAAAACUCCGGUGGUAUGAGAUGGACCUGCGUCUGAUUAGCUAGUUGGUGAGGUAACGGCCCACCAAGGCGACGAUCAGUAGCCGACCUGAGAGGGUGACCGGCCACAUUGGGACUGAGACACGGCCCAAACUCCUACGGGAGGCAGCAGUGGGGAAUAUUGCACAAUGGGGGAAACCCUGAUGCAGCAACGCCGCGUGAAGGAAGAAGGUCUUCGGAUUGUAAACUUCUGUCCUCAGGGAAGAUAAUGACGGUACCUGAGGAGGAAGCUCCGGCUAACUACGUGCCAGCAGCCGCGGUAA